UGUGGGUGUGAGCGGAAAGGGAAAAGCGAUGGGCUGCUGAGUGAUGGGUGCCGUGGCAGAGUCCACAGAGCUCUCCGCUUGUCAUUCUGGACUGGGAGUCUUGCUUGAUCCCAAAGGAACAGCACGACGAGGGCUCAGCAGGGCCUCUGCAUCAAUUUAUGAGCCGCCCAGUGGGAAACCUCUCAUCACAACAAGCCUCCUUGGUUGACUGAGCGGCCUGCACCCUCUUACCAUGUGUAUACUGAAUAUACGGGGCACUUAAUUGGGACUUGAUAUAUCAUUUCAUGAAAGCAGUCUUCAGCCAUUUCAUUUAUGACUCCCCAACUGAAAGGGGAUGAGAUGAAGCUGUAGCCAGAGUAUUGAGAACUGCACGAAGCCCUGGAUUCACACUGGGGAUAUGUGAUUGGCCUGACAGUGGCCAUUUUAUCUGUGUGUGUCUGUACACAUGUGCAGAAACAUACAUGUUACAGCUAAAAAAAAUACAACAAUAACUGAUCUGAUGGAACCAAAACUAAACUAAAAAUAAAGGACUGGGUCUUUGUCACUGA